rnacentral:pre_miRNA from 1 species
CAUAUAUUCUCUCCGUCCGAAAUUACUUGUUGCAGAAAUAGAUGUAUCUAGACGUAUUUUAGUUAUAUACAUCCAUUUUUAUCCAUUUCUGCAACAGCUAAUUCGAGACGGAGGGAGUAUAUG